rnacentral:rRNA from 1 species
UACGGAGGGAGCUAGCGUUGUUCGGAAUUACUGGGCGUAAAGCGCGCGUAGGCGGCUUUGUAAGUUAGAGGUGAAAGCCUGGAGCUCAACUUCAGAAUUGCCUUUAAGACUGCAUCGCUUGAAUCCGGGAGAGGUGAGUGGAAUUCCUGGUGUAGCGGUGAAAUGCGUAGAUAUCGGAAGGAACACCGGUGGCGAAGGCGGCACGCUGGGCCUCUCCUGACGCUGAGGCGCGAAAGCCAGGGGAGCGAACGGG